rnacentral:rRNA from 1 species
AGUGAACGCUGGCGGUAGGCCUAACACAUGCAAGUCGAACGGCAGCACAGUGAGAGCUUGCUCUUACGGGUGGCGAGUGGCGGACGGGUGAGGAAUACAUCGGAAUCUACUUUUUCGUGGGGGAUAACGUAGGGAAACUUACGCUAAUACCGCAUACGACCUACGGGUGAAAGCAGGGGAUCUUCGGACCUUGCGCGAUUGAAUGAGCCGAUGUCGGAUUAGCUAGUUGGCGGGGUAAAGGCCCACCAAGGCGACGAUCCGUAGCUGGUCUGAGAGGAUGAUCAGCCACACUGGAACUGAGACACGGUCCAGACUCCUACGGGAGGCAGCAGUGGGGAGUAUUGGACAAUGGGCGCAAGCCUGAUCCAGCCAUACCGCGUGGGUGAAGAAGGCCUUCGGGUUGUAAAGCCCUUUUGUUGGGAAAGAAAAGCAGCAGGUUAAUACCCCGCUGUUCUGACGGUACCCAAAGAAUAAGCACCGGCUAACUUCGUG